GAUGAAGAACGCAGCGAAAUGCGAUAAGUAAUGCGAAUUGCAGAAUCCGUGAGUCAUCGAAUCUUUGAACGCACAUUGCGCCCUUUGGUAUUCCGAAGGGCAUGCCUGUUCGAGCCUCAUUAUCACCACUCAAGCCCGGCUUGCUGUUGGUGGCAGCGCAGCCGGUCAACCGGCUACGCUCCACCCAAAGAUAAUGACGGCGUCUGCGAGGACUCCUGUACAUUGAGCUUUCGGGCACGUACAUGGCUAGAAGUCCAGGCGCCGGUCGACGUCCUCCGGGACACUUUUUACCAAGGUUGACCUCGGAUCAGGUAGGGAUACCCGCUGAACUUAAGCAUAUCAAUAAGCGGAGGA
rnacentral:misc_RNA from 1 species